GCGUCUUUUGCCUAAUUGGAAUCUUCCU
rnacentral:piRNA from 1 species